rnacentral:rRNA from 1 species
GUAGUCUGCAACUCGACUACAUGAAGCUGGAAUCGCUAGUAAUCGCGAAUCAGCAUGUCGCGGUGAAUACGUUCCCGGGUCUUGCACACACCGCUCGUCACACCAUGGGAGUCAGUAACGCCCGAAGCCGGUGACCCAACCAAGAAUGGAGGGAGCCGUCGAAGGUGGGACCGAUAACUGGGGUGAAGUCGUAACAAGGUAAC